rnacentral:rRNA from 1 species
UACCACAGCCGAAUCAGCCUGCAGUCCAAGACUGGUUACUCACUAAAACUAAGCAGGGCUGCACCUGGUCAGUAACUAGGUGGGAGACCACAUGGAAAAACCAGGUUGCUGUUUGGA